CGUUCACAAGCCCAAACAAAGUUGGCGUGCUACAAUAUCGGACAUUAGAAACCAACCAGAAAGUUCGGAAAAUUGUCUGAAUCCUCCUUUGGCCACGACUGCCGACACAAGCAAGAAAACAAAGUAAAUACCGGAGACUCUGGAGGAAUAACGGGCGCUUAAAACGGAGGUAGACCGGACAAGAGCUAAAAAGCCGGGUCAACAUAAACGAUGGGGGACACUUCUGGAUCUUGGUGACCCUGUAACCUUUCUGCUGGACCUACAAUGAGGCGCAGUCAGGUGCAAAGACAGUGUGUUACUAUCAUGAGAAAGCAGAAAGUGUUUGGUCCCUGGUACAUUCAGGAGGCAGAUUGAAGAGAUAGAUACAACACUUGUGAUUUAGCUGAAACACUGAAAUUGAGAUUUUGGACUGGGACAACAAGUUUGCAAACCAUUCGUCCCCUCAUCUCUUUGCAUCAAAAAACAGCUCUUGGUACGGGGCUGAUCCAGGGAUACCAAAAGAUGAGGACACCCUCACUGCUGUCUCCUCUCAGACUCGCUUCAUCUCAGCCCUGCACUGCACAACAACUACAACCUGAGACACCACCAAUCAUGUAUGCUCUCUCAAAUACAUGCAGAAACAGACACACGCCCAUGCACAUGCUCGUGCACAGCUAAGGGUUACUUUUGCAAAAGCCUUAAAACCAUUGUGCCUUUCGGUACAAAACACAAUAUGAUUCAGGAGCAAAUGUAAGUAAAGAACAGCGACUUUACUUCCAAUAAGUAUCAUCCGACUGUUUUCUGUUUCAGAGUCGAAAGAGUUAAAAUUCUGUUUGAAUAAUCCAGUAAAAGCAUUUGAAUACAAAAAAAGCUUCUCUUGCAGAAAACCUAUACUUCUUAUUAUCAAACCCACAUUUUGCUUUACUUCCAUAUUUUAAUAUUACAUAAAUACAUCUCCAGAAAACUAAAGCCUCCUUGUGUUCAUGAAUAGUACAUAAGAGCUUCAGUAUUUAAUUUUAAUUGAAUCGCGGGGGUGGGCUGUCUGAGUCAGCACAUUAUUUAAGUGAAGGGAAGACUGAGCAGAGUGUGCUGGUAGCUGCAUUUCCACUUCACUGCAGCUCCAGUUGUUACAGCACAUUAAACCAUGGAUUUCCUGUCACUCUUUCUGCCUACCUGUGUUACAUCCCCGCCACUUAGGGUUCCAGAGACCUCCAGUCUCUCCCAGCAUGCACUGCAGCCGAGGCCGGGAGAAGACAGGGAGACUAAAGCAUUAGAGGAAAUUUGAAGCCUGAAUCCACUUUGACUUGUCAGAGGAAACAGGGACUAAAUGGACUGAAUAUUGCAGAAAAGAUGGAUUUGUGGCUUAAAUAGGGACUGAAACUUUUAAAGCUGUCAAUCAUGUUAUAAAUAUGAAGGUGUACCACUUCUGAAUACAGCAUCUGCAAUAAUUAUUGUUGAGUAUCUGUCACAUUUCUAUUUCAGGACUCCAUAUGUUGGUGAGCGAUCUGCUUAAACAGCUGGACGUAACAGCUGGAAGCAAAGCCACUACUUAAGAUACGCUUAACUCUGCAAGACGAAAUGCCCACAAAUGUCAACACUUGGGUCCUGUACAGUGACUUUUGUUUGAUUGAUUGAUUUAUUCUUUUGUAUUCUUCACAACUGUUUCAUCACACUGUAAUUCUUCUGGAUUGUCGUCUAUUCGUGUUGGAUUGAAUCUUCUUAUGCGUGACAAUUGCUUGGAUUCAUUCUACGCUAACCAAAAAUAUUGCAACAGCUUUGUCCUUGUAAGUUUAGUUCCUACCCAAGGUUUGAAACUGCACAACUUAGCCUAACCACGAAUUUCCACCACAUCCGAAACGGCGUGAUACCGAGUUGUCUCUAUAAAGACAGACACAUAGACAUAUAAGCAGUAGAUUGUGUCCUUUCAGAGGAGGAAAUCUACUUCUAGACUUCUAGAAUCAGCAUCUCCUCAUCCAUGGUAUCAUCGGGGUGAAAUGACGUCUAUAAACCUUUCACUUGUUCGUCUCCGCCCAUUUGCAUGGUCCUUUCCAGCUCAGGUUAAUCUGUUUUGAAUUUAUCCGGCAUGCUCUGGCGUCGGGAGGAAAUAGAACUCUUGUGAUCAGCUGCGGAGACCGUUGAUCUGCAGCAAAACAGAAAGAAGCCGAUGGAAAUUGACACAUUAACUUAAAUGGUUACGAUCAGCGACAAUCGGUGUAUAUGGCCUUUUCGUAUAUAACUUAACAUAUCUGAUUUUUACAUGUAACUAUGAACUGUGCAAUUCUGAUUUGUUCUAAUCCGACCCAGGCCUCUUUUGUAUGUGGAUAUAAAUCAGACAUGUAUCCGAUGUGACUGCAGUGUGGACGCUCAGGUCGCGUUCAUCCGACCUAUACCUCAUCAAUAUGCAAAAAACGUCACCAUUGUUCGAUAACACAAACAGGCGCGGAAAGCAAUUUUUGCUUCGUGCGCAUGCGGGUCACUUCACGGACGCAUUCCGUUCACAUUAGAUGCCACAUUCGUUGUUGUAAUGUAAACGACUGCACAAAAAGAUCGGAUUUAACAAAAAAUCAGAACUGUGCAUCAGAACCUGCAGCAGUAGCCGUCUAUUGCUCAGUGGGAGUCAUGUUAAGAAAGUCAGUGUCAUAUAAGCAGCGUCACAUACUUAAAAUCAGCCUAACAUGAGUAAUGAAGAUACAGCUUUGAAAGCAGUUUAAUGCACACAAGUGAAACUAUGGUCCCCGUGAAGUAAUGAAUGAAUGAGUGAUUAGCCUCUUUGCAUAUUUAACCGCACUGUCGUAUUUCUUGAUCUUGGUUAAGCUAAGGAGGCGUGCAGACGAGUUUGCUUUGGCUGUAAAAAUGCUGCAACACAUGGCAAGAAGAAAAACCCUGACAUUUGUCAUGUCAUUAUUACAUCCAAUCUGUUCUUGUCAUACAAAGAGAAAGGCCAGUGUUUGUGGAAUAAAGGCUUUUUGCAGCUAUUCCAGUCUCAUCUCUCUAAUGCCCCGUGUUUUCUUUCUUAUUAAUCAUUCACAACGCUGAAAUGAAUAGAAAUGCGCCAUGUUGUAUUGAUCCCCGGGACUUAGGGCUUCUUUUUCUGCAAACAUUGUUUGGUGUUUGUGCUGGAUGAAUAAUUGUCAUGUCGGACAAGGUGUCAGCAAUGUCACGGUGAAAUGACAGGGAGCGAAAAGAAAAAGUGCUUGAAGGCUUGAUAUCAGCCAUCAGGGAAAUGUAAAAAAAAAAAAAAAGAGAGAAGUAUGCUCAUGCCAUAUAACAACCAAUAUGCCCUCAAAGUCCUUUGCUGUCAGCAAGUACACACGAGUAGUCACAAACACAGAGCCAGGUUGUUUUUCUUUCAAUGAACAUCUCAGGUACAGUAAUGCAGCAGACCAACCAGGAUGUAUUGAAGCUGACAGGUUGUCUGGAAGCUAUUCUCAAAUUUAUUUCCAUGACAAGCAGUUAUUUCAAACACAUCAUGUGCCAUUGCUUCUGUCAGCACCACAUGUUAUACCAGGGAAAGCAAUCUCACUGACAGCAUGUAUUGAUACAAACACGGUGUCCUGGCGAUAGGUAUUAAUCAUGCUUUGGAUGAUCAGCCUCCAGGUUUUUUGCUUUGGGUAAGAAAUGGACGCUCUGUUGUGUAAUCUGUCACCGGCUCGACUUAAAAACGACACAAGAAAAAGCAAAAAGAAGAAUCAUCAACGUGAAGAUUAAACAUUGUUUUAGUGGGACAUAACACGAGUUUAACCCGCCUUACAUCAUUUGUGUGUUACUUUAAAGCAACGCCGCUAAUGAUAUCUUGUAGAGGGAUACUGGCGUAGAGAGAUCAAAGCAAGUCGGAUUGAUCUUGUGUUGUUGGAGCCACUAAAUUUCGCAUUUUGAUGUCGUCCAAAAUAUUGGGAUCGCAUUGCCUUCGAAUUCGAGUGUGCCAUUUAUAUCGCUUUGAUCCUGGAACACGAUCAGAAGUAUCAUUAUACUUAUAAGACAUGAAAGCUGCUGGAGAAGGCUGGUUUUAGUUCAGCUUUAUAUUUCCUUAAAGAUUUUAGUUAUAAAUUAUGUCUCUGUUCACUAUAUGGGUUUAUACAUAAUUCAGAUCUGCUUUAAUUGAAGUUCUGGCAUCAACUGUCGAGAGCAUUAAUCUCUGAAGUCUCUGGAAACCUAAACCCAGCAAGUAUGCUGAUCAGGGUAGUUUAAAGGCUGUAUUAACCUGAUAGGAAGUGUCUAAAAGUAUCUAUGGAUAACGGUGCAAACCAAUCAGAACAAUUGUGAUCAUAUAUUAGGAUUACAGUUAUUCAAAGAUGCACCGAUUUUUCACAUCUUGUACUUUUUGUUUGAUUUUAGCUAUUUUGGCACCACGAGUUAGGAUAUGGUUUAAGCCUAAAACCUACAGGAUGUGUGCUGGGUGCAAAAAAACUGGCUAGAAGUGCUGGGCUCUGAUUGGUUAUUCCUUAUGGCUGUGAAAUGUCAUCGUCUGUCAGGUCAGGGUUACGAUUAAGAUUCAGUUCGAUGAUGUUCUGUAAUGUUCUGUUCGAUGUACAGAGCCGAUGAUGUUUCCAGCUUUUCCAGCCAAUCAGAGGCGAAUGAGGCGGGACUUUCCCCUACUAUCCUUCAAAAAAAAAAAAAAAUCCCGUGCUGGGCACAUUUUGUCAACGUUGCAUGCUACGGUGCAAAUAUGUUCCCAUUCUAAUCAAUGCAGCAUGGCACACAGAGAGCAUUGCAGUGCGUCUUGCACCGUCCCAGAAGCGUCUCUACUUGCUACUUAGCUAAAGGUACCACGGCGAGACUAUUUUCGAAAGAGCACAGAGAGGAUCGUCCAAGACAGGAUGUCACGGACUGGAGAGAACUUUGGCUGAAUUUUGCGCCCAACACAUACGGGUUUUCAGCAUUACACUGUCCUGUAAACUCAUAAGAGGUUUGGCGUCACUGAAUGGGAACGCCACUGCACUCGAACCAUGAACCACUGGAAAUACGGCGCUUAGUUACAUUUGUACGACCCAAGAAAGACUCUUAUAACACAGAUCUUUCGUGUUGCAGUAUGGCCAGUCCAAAACUUGGGAAGGGGAGUCCAUAUGUUCAUCCAUCAGUGUUCGAAUUUCACUUGUGAAUGGGUGAAUGUGAGGAGUAAUGUAAAACACUGCUGUAUGAGUAUCAUCCAUUCACCAUUCAUUAUAGCUUUACAAGCAACAGCAGAAAGGGCCUCUGAGCUGAUAUUGGAUAUGUACGAGGACUGCUUAUUCUAAUUUGGAAAGAGAACUUUUUGAAACUCAUUAUUUAGAGUCUAAUUGGAAUUAAAAGCUUUUGAAUUGGCAGCAAAGGGCUCAUUUCGAGGAACAUUUUAAGUCCUGAAUACCUCCUCCAUACGCUCCAUCCUCGAAAAGCUUGCUCUCAUUUAGAUUAAUACAUGUUUUGUUGUAAAUUUGUCCAGAGCGGUUGUGUUUAAAUGAAGGCUGUAGGUGGAAUAAACCAGAUUAAACACCUGGAUAAUUGGUUUUCGCUGCUAUGACAAAAGAAAGCCUCUGUGCCCCCCCUCGAGGUACCGACCACUGACUUUUAUGAGCAAAACAAAUUGGUAUCACAUCUUCCACCUGGCAGGACAUCUUCACACCUGGACAUAGGUGGCCUUUUUGACACUAAUAGGAGUCCAGGAGGGAAGGAGAAGGUGAAAUCCAGCUGAAAACAAGCCAGUGGCAGACAGCUGAGGCCUAUUUGGCACUGAUCUCCUGACUGACUCACUGAGAAGUUCACAGAUGGCUCACUUAUUCAAGGCUUGGGGUGCAAGGUAAACAAAGUACCGUGGAUGUUACUAAUCUGACCCUGGUGGUAUACAGUAGAGGCCUGUCAGAGAGGUGCGAUUCGCUGUACGAGAAAAUAGACUGUCCUUUUUCUUUUUGUCUUUCACACUUUAACGAACUCUUCUGAUUCCCGUCAUUAUUUCUGCUAAUUGAAUUCCUUGUGUUCGGUCAGGGUUUGCUAUUUUUAUCUCUCGCCCGGCGUAUAGGGUGAGAGUGUGGAGCUUAUUAAAAUGCAACUUUCCCUUCGAACCAUUUGCAUCUAAUUUUGUACAAUUUUUGCAAAAUAUUCAUACAGCACAGCAUUCUAUGGCCUCCUGUCUCAUUUGUAUUCCAGUGAUGUACGCCGCUAAAUAGCCGUGGCUUGAUAGACUGAUUCACAAUAUAAUGUCAAUCAAACAUUCUGGACACUACCACCAACAGGCACCAAAGGUAUCGGGUCAUGUUUUAUUCAUACUGCUUUAAAAUUUUCAUUUUCUUCUGACUUCCUGCAGUAAAAAAAAAAAAGUACAGGAGUGGUUUGGGGAGCAAAAUAAAUGUAUAAAAGGCGUUCAUGACAAAGCAGCUGUAAGCUCGAUAUGUUUAUUCAGUUCUUAUCUGUUUGAUUAGAUUCAUUAGAAUAAUUAAACAAUCCGUCUACAGAGCAUGGUGCUCCGAAUAGCAAGAGGAUGAACCUCUUCCAAGUGCUUAAAAGAUUGACUGCCGAGUCAAGUCAGUUUCCAGGGUAAACGAGGACGUAUUUGCAAUGUCAUAAUGAUUUCCUUGUCGAUUGUGCACCGAAUCCACAAAGAUAUCAUGUACGGUAAGUACCAGAAACUCGUGUCUUAAAUACAGCAUCAGAUUCAAGCCGGGUUUUCUUUUCAGCCAGUAUGACGGAGAAUAAAUAGGCCACCUUGUACGCUUUGUAGAAAAAAAACGAGCUCUCGUAAUUACACAACAAAGACCAAGGACAGAUUAUGCUCAUGGCUCAUUACAACUUUCAAGUGUGCCUCUAGGACAUUAAAAAUAUUUCUUUUAAGAAGCACGGGAACUCGGAUCCCUAAUUAUUGUGUAAGAAAAUAUCAAAUAGAGCGAUACUGCUGCUCUUUUUGAUGUUUCUUUGGACAUAUUUGGGGCGACAGGAACCUCAUUAUGAGCUUGUGCUGCCUGGACGGCUUGAAAUCAACCUUUGUGGCGUUGUCAUGACAGGUAAGACAAAAGUAGUGGAUGGAAGUGAUCACUGAAUGGGUGGAUGGACAAAAACAUCGAUUUUAAGGGUUACUGUCACAUUUUUAUCAGAAUCAACUUUGAGAAAUCAGGCAGAAAUUUGGAUUUCGAUGCAUCGUCAACUUGGACCAACGCUGGAUCCUUCCUAUGUGGACCCGGGUCAAAUAUUAUGACUUACAUGAAUUCAGCUUGUCUGUGCUGUCAGAGGUCACUUCCUCAACCAAGACUUCCUGGACAAAAAAGUACAGAAAACAAAGUAAAUACCGGAGACUCUGGAGGAAUAACGGGCGCUUAAAACGGAGGUAGACCGGACAAGAGCUAAAAAGCCGGGUCAACAUAAACGAUGGGGGACGCUUGGGGAUCUUGGUGACCCUGUAACCUUUCUGCUGGACAGGUAAACCGCUUUAACAAAGUAAGACAAGUGUCUGUAACAGAAGUGUUUCUUGUCAAACGGAC
rnacentral:lncRNA from 1 species